GUGCAGCAGUCGAGAAACUUUACAAUGUGCGAAAGCACGAUAAGGGAACUCUGAGUGCCUCCUAAGGAGGCUGUUCAGGUGUCUAAAAGCACCUGGAGUAAGGGCUGGGUAAGACCGGUGCCAGCCGCCGCGGUAACACCGGCAGCCCAGGUGGUAGCCACUUUUAUUGGGUCUAAAGCGUCCGUAGCCGGUUGAGUAAGUUCCUUGGGAAAUUUGGCUGCUCAACAGUCAAGCUUCCAGGGAAUACUGCUCGACUUGGGACUGGGAGAGGUCAGAGGUACUCCAGGGGUAGGGUGAAAUCCAUUAAUCCCUGGGGGACCACCGGUAGCGAAGGCGUCUGACCAGACCAGGUCCGACGGUGAGGGACGAAGGCUAGGGUCGCGAACCGGAUUAGAUACCCCGGUAGU
rnacentral:rRNA from 1 species